rnacentral:lncRNA from 1 species
AAAGAGAGAUGGCUAUAAAGGGAUCAGAAGAUAGGAUUGGAUGGAUAUAUAACGAGGUGAGGGGUCUUUUUAAGGUACGGUUUCUUAGGAUUGCUGCUCUUCUGACACACAAGAGGGUCCGGCUUGAUCUCAGAGACACAAGGCAAGGGAAAGGGGAAGGGCAAUCCCAACUCUGACACACGCGUCAACAUGCAGAGAUCUCCUCCAUUUCGUGGCUACAAAACAUGCAUGGGUGGCAAGAGAUGGCACAGUAUGUACAUAGGAGAAACACUAUUAACUCCUUAGCCACUAUAUGAAUAGCCUAAAGAAAGAGACAGAGGGAGAGCAAGAGAGAGAGAGAGAGAGUCUUUUGAGGAGGAGGAGGAGGAGGAGAAGGUAGGAGGAGGAGGAGGAGGAAGAAGGAGGAGUUGGAGAAGUGGGUGGUGGGGCCAUGGGAGAGCAAACCACCACAUGAGUGCACAUGGAGUAAAUGACCCACUUGGUGGGGGUGAUGGGAACAGGUUUUCCCCCUUAGCUUUCUGCCUUUAUCACGGCACUUGGUUUCUUCCUUUGCCUCUCCGUUUGGUUUCACGUCCAUGACAUACCCAUCUCUUUCUCCCUCCCCUCCUUCCUUCUCCUCCUAUCACAAAAAUAUAAGAAAGAAAGAGAAGAAGAAGAAGGACAAAGCUCAUCCUCCCCCUUACUUCUUCACUGUGUACAUGGUGG